UGGGGAAUAUUGCACAAUGGGCGGAAGCCUGAUCCAGCGACGCCGCGUGGGGGAUGAAGGCCUUCGUGUUGUAAACUCCUUUCGACAGGGACGAAGCUUUUGUGACGGUACCUGUAUCAGAAGCACCGGCUAACUACGUGCCAGCAGCCGCGGUAAUACGUAGGGUGCGAGCGUUGUCCGGAAUUACUGGGCGUAAAGAGCUCGUAGGUGGUUUGUCGCGUCGUCUGUGAAAUUCCGGGGCUUAACUCCGGGGGUGCAGGCGAUACGGACUGACUUGAGUGCUGUAGGGGAGACUGGGAUUCCUGGUGUAGCGGUGAAAUGCGCAGAUAUCAGGAGGAACAACGAUGGCGAAGGCAGGUCUCUGGGCAGUAACUGACGCUGAGGAGCGAAAGCAUGGGUAGCGAACAGG
rnacentral:rRNA from 1 species